AUGUAACAAAGGAAAAAUCAUGAGUAGUACUGAAAAUCUAGCUACCUACUGGUGCUGGUGAAGACUUGAAUCUUGGAGGACAAACAACAACCACUUUAAUAAACCAUCAUAAUCUCUCCUGAUACCCACAGAAUCCCCAAGAUGCCAUCCCCUCCAGACAGCAGCAAGUGAUUUAAGAACACUACACACAUUCUCAAGAGAUGGGUCUAUGUACUCCUGACAGUUCUGGAACUCACUAUGAAGACCAGGAUAGUCUUGGAUUUAUAGAGAUCUUCUUGCUUCUGCAUCCUGAGUGCUGGGAUUAAAGGCAUACACCACAUUGCCUGUCUUUAUUAUGAAUUCUUAAAUGUUGAACAAUAUUGUUUGUUUGGUUUUUGAGAAAAUAUUUCAUUAUGUAACAGCCUUAG